CUUGGCUGUGAUGACACACUUGCCCUCACUGACAUAAGAUCUGAUUGAGACAUUUUAUUUUGCUGAGCCACA
rnacentral:snoRNA from 1 species